rnacentral:snRNA from 1 species
UGUGUGUUCACACUAUGCGUU